UUAUAGAGUUUAUUUAAUUAAAGUAUUCAAGUUUCAAUUUACAGGUUGAAUUUCCAGUACACAACAUUUUUGCAGGUAUGGACACUGUGAAUGACACGAAUGCCAUUUUUCAUCUGCAGAGAGAAGAGCAUCCAAGCAAGGUCUCAAAUGUCAUUGUUUGAAAAGCAUGAAGCUGAAUAUCACCAGUGAUGCAAAAUGUGCAGAAAGAUUUGAGGUGAUAAUAGCACAGCUGGCACCCACACAUUUCUUUAAGAGUGAGCAUGAUG
rnacentral:sRNA from 1 species